UUUUGUGGGGUGCUCGAGUGGCGAACGGGUGAGUAACACGUGAGUAACCUGCCCUUGACUUUGGGAUAACUUCAGGAAACUGGGGCUAAUACCGGAUAGGAGCUCCUGUUGCAUGGUGGGGGUUGGAAAGUUUCGGCGGUUGGGGAUGGACUCGCGGCUUAUCAGCUUGUUGGUGGGGUAGUGGCUUACCAAGGCUUUGACGGGUAGCCGGCCUGAGAGGGUGACCGGCCACAUUGGGACUGAGAUACGGCCCAG
rnacentral:rRNA from 1 species